UAUAAAAAUCUUUUUUUUAAUAUUUAUUGCAUGUCAUGGAAAAUUGGUUAA
rnacentral:pre_miRNA from 1 species